GAUGAACGCUAGCGGCAGGCUUAAUACAUGCAAGUCGAGGGGCAGCGGGUGUAGUAAUACAUGCCGGCGACCGGCGCACGGGUGCGUAACGCGUAUGUAACCUACCUUUAACUGGAGGAUAGCCCCGAGAAAUCGGGAUUAAUACUCCAUAAAAUUAUGAAAAGGCAUCUUUUUAUAAUUAAAGCUCCGGCGGUUUUAGAUGGGCAUGCGUGACAUUAGCUAGUUGGUGAGGUAACGGCUCACCAAGGCUCCGAUGUCUAGGGGUUCUGAGAGGAUUAACCCCCACACUGGUACUGAGACACGGACCAGACUCCUACGGGAGGCAGCAGUAAGGAAUAUUGGGCAAUGGACGCAAGUCUGACCCAGCCAUGCCGCGUGAAGGAUGACGGCCCUAUGGGUUGUAAACUUCUUUUGUACGGGAAAAAACCUUCGAGCGUGUUCGAAGCUGAUGGUACCGUAAGAAUAAGCAUCGGCUAACUCCGUG
rnacentral:rRNA from 1 species